CCUGCAGGAUCAGGUCCCCUACCCUCCUGGCUGUGCCCAGAGGCCUGUUUGGCACUUUCUGAGUUUAUGGCCUCUGACUAGAAAAGGACCAAGCUAUCAUCUUUUAUGAGCCCAGUGAGGAGGAGGAGAAGGAGGAAAAGGAGGUGGAGGAGAAGGAGAAGGUGGCCCUUAUCUUGAUGGGAUGAUCUUGGAGAAUGUUGGGGCCACAAUUUAGAAGUGCCCCAGGCACCUUCUAAGAGCACUCUGGUUUCCUCAGUAUCUUUGAAAUAAAUGUCUCGAUAAUGUAUAUAAUUUAAUCAGCUCCUGAGACAAGAGGCUCCCUGAAUAAUCUGGUCUGCCGAGUCCUUAGGAGGUAGGGAAGAGGCAUCUCAACCAAGGAAAUCAUAGUGUACCCACAAUGCCCAAAGGAGACUGAAUUAUAUUAUCAACAUCCAAAUACAGUCAGCAAUAUUUCACCAGAAAAGCUGCUUUGCAAAA